rnacentral:rRNA from 1 species
AUACGUAUGUCGCAAGCGUUAUCCGGAUUUAUUGGGCGUAAAGCGCGUCUAGGCGGCUUAGUAAGUCUGAUGUGAAAAUGCGGGGCUCAACCCCGUAUUGCGUUGGAAACUGCUAAACUAGAGUACUGGAGAGGUAGGCGGAACUACAAGUGUAGAGGUGAAAUUCGUAGAUAUUUGUAGGAAUGCCGAUGGGGAAGCCAGCCAACUGGACAGUUACUGACGCUAAAGCGCGAAAGCUUGGGUAGCAAACAGGAUUAGAUACCCUGGUAGUCCACGCCGUAAACGAUGAUUACUAGGUGUUGGGGGUCGAACCUCAGCGCCCAAGCUAACGCGAUAAGUAAUCCGCCUGGGGAGUACGUACGCAAGUAUGAAACUCAAAGGAAUUGACGGGG